rnacentral:rRNA from 1 species
CAGUCGCCGCGGGAAUACGUAGGUGGCAAGCGUUGUCCGGAAUUAUUGGGCGUAAAGGGCUCGCAGGCGGUUUCUUAAGUCUGAUGUGAAAGCCCCCGGCUCAACCGGGGAGGGUCAUUGGAAACUGGGAAACUUGAGUGCAGAAGAGGAGAGUGGAAUUCCACGUGUAGCGGUGAAAUGCGUUGAGAUCGGAAAGAACACCAACGGCGAAAGCACUCUGCUGGGCCGACACUGACACUGAGAGACGAAAGCUAGGGGAGCAAAUGGGAUUAGAUACCCCGGUAGUCCCUGUCUCUUAUAA